GUGGGGGUAUUUACCCCCUCCCUCGGUGACGCCCCCCACCCUCGGUGAUGCCGGGAGGCGGUAGUAAGAGCGGCGGUGUGGGAGGCCCCUCCUCCUCGCCCCCCCACACCGCUCCCCCCUUCAGGCCGCUUCGCCCCUCCCGCUACGUGCCGGUCUCCGCGGCAACAGCCUUCCUGGUGGGGUCCACCACGCUGUUCUUCUGCUUCACGUGUCCGUGGCUGUCGGAGCAAUUCUCGGUUGCCGUGCCGAUCUACAACGGGUCAUCUUCCUGUUUGUUCUGGCCAACUUCUGCAUGGCCACCUUCAUGGACCCUGGUAUCUUCCCCAGAGCGGAGGAGGACGAGGAUAAAGAGGAUGAUUUCCGCGCUCCUCUCUACAAGACGGUGGAGAUCAGAGGGAUCCAGGUCAGGAUGAAGUGGUGCUCCUCCUGCCGCUUCUACAAGACCCCCUCGCUGCUCACACUGCUCCGUGUGUGACAACUGUGUGGAGGACUUUGAUCACCACUGUCCCUGGGUGAACAACUGCAUCGGCAGAAGGAACACCGCUACUUCUUCCUGUUCCUCCUCUCCCUCACCGCUCACAUCAUGGCCGUGUUCGGCUUCGGCCUGGUGUUCAUCCUCUAC